rnacentral:lncRNA from 1 species
UCUUUUGAUCUAGCCAUAGUGACUCUCUAUCCAUUGUGGGAGUGUUUAGGCGGGGCCUAAGAAUGAAUGAUUUACGCGCUCCUUCGUUCAUAGCACGGAGUGAGAUGUCUAUGUUCACGAACUAGUGUUGUCAAUCAAGGCCUUUUUUAUUUUUGCCUAUGAUGCCAUGCCUGCUGUUACUUCACUCGGUCAAUGGGGAUAAACCACUGUAUCUCGCUUUUUUUGAUGCUACUUAGACUUGAAUCAACCAACCGGAUUUGUUCGAUCUCCUGCGGCGAGUGCUGCUUCUUUGACCUGUGCUUCCUACGCCUUUGCCCGUGGGUCAAUUGGUCUUGGUUUUGGCACUCUAAGAGAGAGGAGGGGGGAUACCAUAAAUCCACUCUGCUACAGGCUAUUCAGCUAACCUUUUAGAAAAAUGUCUUAACUAAAAUAAAUAAGAUAAGAAAGCCUCAGAACGAAAGGAGGAUAAAGCAGAACUGCGUAAGAUAGAAAGAUCUAUUAUCCCAUUUCUUGCCUAAAAAAGGGGACCUACUCUCUUUUCUAAAUCCAAUCAAUAGCCCGUUCCAGUCUAACGAGCUUCCUCCCUUUCACCUUUCAGUCGAUUAAGCAAUUGAUUCAGUCGUUGACGUUGCAGGUGAUUCUUAUGAUUCCCGUC